GAGUGGCGAACGGGUGAGUAACACAUCGGAACGUACCCAGGAGUGGGGGACAACCUCGAGAAAUCGAGGCUAAUACCGCAUACGUCUGAGGGAGAAAGCGGGGGAUCUGCAAGGACCUCGCGCUCAUGGAGCGGCCGAUGUCGGAUUAGCUAGUUGGCGGGGUAAGAGCCCACCAAGGCUACGAUCCGUAGCUGGUUUGAGAGAACGACCAGCCACACUGGGACUGAGACACGGCCCAGACUCCUACGGGAGGCAGCAGUGGGGAAUUUUGGACAAUGGGGGCAACCCUGAUCCAGCCAUGCCGCGUGAGUGAAGAAGGCCUUCGGGUUGUAAAGCUCUUUCGGCCGGAACGAAAUCGCGUACGUGAAUAACGUGCGUGGAUGACGGUACUGGAAGAAGAAGCACCGGCUAACUACGUGCCAGCAGCCGCGGUAAUACGUAGGGUGCGAGCGUUAAUCGGAAUUACUGGGCGUAAAGCGUGCGCAGGCGGUUCUGCAAGUCAGAUGUGAAAUCCCCGGGCUUAACCUGGGAACUGCGUUUGAAACUACGGAGCUAGAGUGCGGCAGAGGGGGGUGGAAUUCCACGUGUAGCAGUGAAAUGCGUAGAUAUGUGGAGGAACACCGAUGGCGAAGGCAGCCCCCUGGGCCGACAC
rnacentral:rRNA from 1 species